rnacentral:rRNA from 1 species
UUCCGCUGACGAGUGGCGCACGGGUGCGCAACGCGUAUAGAACCUACCCUGUACAGGGGGAUAGCCCGGAGAAAUUCGGAUUAAUACCCCGUAGUAAUGAUGAUCGGCAUCGGUUAUCAUUUAAAGUUUUGGCGGUACGGGAUGGCUAUGCGUCCUAUUAGCUAGAUGGUGAGGUAACGGCUCACCAUGGCUAUGAUAGGUAGGGGCCCUGAGAGGGGGAUCCCCCACACUGGUACUGAGACACGGACCAGACUCCUACGGGAGGCAGCAGUGAGGAAUAUUGGACAAUGGGCGAAGGCCUGAUCCAGCCAUGCCGCGUGCAGGAAGACAGCCCUAUGGGUUGUAAACUGCUUUUAUACGGGAAGAAUAAUGGCGACGUGUGCCGAGAUGACGGUACCGUAAGAAUAAGGACCGGCUAACUCCGUGCCAGCAGCCGCGGUAAUACGGAGGGUCCGAGCGUUAUCCGGAAUCAUUGGGUUUAAAGGGUCCGCAGGCGGGCGAUUAAGUCAGGGGUGAAAUGGUACGGCUCAACCGUAGCACUGCCCUUGAUACUGGUUGUCUUGAGUCAUAGUGAAGUGGCCGGAAUAUGUAGUGUAGCGGUGAAAUGCAUAGAUAUUACAUAGAACACCGAUUGCGAAGGCAGGUCACUAACUAUCGACUGACGCUGAUGGACGAAAGCGUGGGGAGCGAACGGGAUUAGAUACCCCGGUAGUCCACGCCGUAAACGAUGGAUACUAGCUGUCGGGUUUUC